GAAGAAGCAAGACAUCACGAUUACUGGUGCCAGCACAUUGCCUAGUGAUGAGGUAUGUCGAUAUUGUUAACUAGCAAGUAAAAAAUUUGCCAGCUUCCUGAUAUUAUAUUUGGCGCUGAAGUCUAGGCAUGCCUUUACUGUGUCUAAGUCUUGAAUUAUUUUGAUGGAAAUGUCUGAAAACAUACAGGUGGAGAGGAUGGUUAGUGAAGCCGAGCGGUUUGCAAAGGAGGACAAGGAGAAGAGAGAGGCCAUUGACACAAAGAACCAGGCUGAUUCUGUUGUCUACCAGACUGAGAAGCAGCUGAAAGAGCUGGGAGACAAGGUUCCAGCCGAAGUUAAAGAGAAGGUUGAGGCAAAACUUGGAGAGCUCAAGGAGUCAGUUGCCGGGGGUUCAACUCAAGCAAUAAAAGAUGCCAUCACGGCCCUUAACCAGGAAGUAAUGCAGCUUGGCCAGUCUCUUUACAACCAGCCUGGCGCUCCCGGUGCUGGUGCUGGUGCAGGGCCAACUCCACCUGGUGCCGAAGCUGGUGGACCUUCAGAAUCAUCGUCCGGCAAGGGACCUGAUGGAGAUGUUAUUGAUGCAGAUUUCACCGACAGCAAGUGAGCAAGAUGGUUGGAUAGAAGUUAGUGGUUUUCUUGCAUAAUUUGUUUUCACUAAAUGUGUAUAAGAGAAUGAUUUUGCGGGGAUGGGAUGUGGUGUUGGAUUACUGUCAU
rnacentral:lncRNA from 1 species